GUCCUUUGAGUGCGUUGUUGGAGCUGUACACUACCGCCUCCCCUGAUCUUAGGACGGGUCCUGCAGGAGAUUCUCCAGCGGUUGGCAGGAGCGUCUGGGCGCUUUGGUAGAGCGCCCGGAGAGCGCUGUUCUUCUCUACUGGGGGGGAGAACCAUCCCCUAGCUUGAAGAGACUCACUGUUGCAGACUUUCCACAGCAAGAAUGACGUUCCUGUUCUUAUGCUGCAGCUCUUUGCUUCUGGGUCAGAGCGAUCUGCUGUGGGGCGAAGAUCUCCAUUAAGGUGCAUCAAAGCUGCCUGGUGGUGUUGGAGCACAGUUACCGCCCUUUGUGGCCUGUGUUUCCGUUCUCGUGUGUUGGCAAAGACUGACGGAGAAAGUGUGGAGCAGGGAACCCUGAUUUUGUUGGAUCAUCGUCAGCUUCCAAGGAAAAGCCGCUGAAGAUGCUUCAGAAGGAGGCCUCCGAUAUAUGCAGAAGGGCAUCCCAUAAAAAAAGAGUGACAGCCUGCAGAUGGGACCCAGCGCUGGAGAAAGCCUCGGGCCUCCCUUCAACAGAGCUGUUACGCAGAAUGGCUGUGAAAAUAAAAACAUCGGAGGAGCCAUCAUGUGUGAUCACCAGGGCGAUCAAUAAAAAAGUGGAACUGGAGAGAGCAACCAAGAAAGGAAAUUUUUUUCCCUUCCCUUGGAUAAGAAAUGCACCAGCAUCUGAGGAGUGACCUUCGUGGCAUUACACAGACCUACAAAGCAGAGGGAUAUGGAAAUGCUCCUCCUUGGAUGAUUGGAAGGAAGAGGCAUCCAUGAUCUGAAUCAAGCCUGAUGAUGCUUCAUUCAUCCUUCUAAUUUGCACCACUUCAGUUUCUAUGUGCUCAUCCCCAUCAUCCUUGUCAGUGGCACUUUCAGAUUCUUGGCUAGGGUUUCCAUGACAAAAUACUAUGGCCUGGGGAACGUAAGCAACAGUCAUUUCUUCUCUCACGGUUCUGGAGGCUGGACCUCCAAGAUCAAGGUGACGACAACAGGGAUGGCUUCGAGGGUGUCCUCUCUUGCCUGCCUCUAGAUGGCUGCCUUCAGGCUCUGUCCUCACAUGGCCUUUCCUCUAAGUCUCCACGUAAUAAGCCCUGGUCUCGUCUGUUAUUGCCCCACCCUUAGGAUAUUAAGAAGCAACAGCUCUUUCUGUCUCCCCAUUCAAGGCUUUACACUCUAUGCAUCUAGUGUGUGAAUAAACAAUUCUUUGAGGACAUCAACCUCACCCAGUUUCUUUUGUUUAUGUAUGUAUCUUUUUAGGGCUGCACCUGUGGCACAUGGGCGUUCCCAGUCUAUGUAGGGGUCAGUCGGAGCUUCAGUGGAUGAUCCAUGUCUCAGCAACAGCAGAAUUGGAGCUGAGCCACUUCAGAGACCUACAUCACAGCUCACAGCAACACCUGAACCUCACCCCACAGAGCAAGGCCAGGGAUUGAACCCACCUGCUCAUGGAUCGGAUGCAUUGCUGCUGCUCCACCACGGGACCUCAGACCUUAGAGAAUUUCGCACUACACCUUCCUCAGAGAGGCUGAACCGGCAGUAUCUGAAUGAACUCAGCCAAUUCCAGACCCACUGGCACCAUCUGAAAUAAUAAUAAAUGUUGAUGUUUGAAACUGC
rnacentral:lncRNA from 1 species